rnacentral:lncRNA from 1 species
AAAAAAUACAGCAGGACCUGCAGCUCAUAUAUUCAAACCAUGCUUGUGAAAAUACCAGGACGGUAAAUUAGUGAAUUCCAAAGUCAGGAUUUUUGUUGGAUCUGGCACAGUCACAGGAAAGUCUGAGUUUUCUCAAGGGCAUCCCUGUCUCACCGAGGGGCACCAAGGACAGACGACCAGAAGCAAAUGGCGCAGUCACCGUCAGAGGAGAGUAAAACUCAUUCUGAAACGGUUCCAAAUGCCCAUGCCUGCUCUGUGGUUUUCAGCAAAGCGGACCUUUCCAAAAGACCUCCAACAGGGACUUCCUGGAUGUGAGAACACUAACCAAUUCUCGUUCCUCUCAUCUUUUGCUUUAUUCCUUCCUUCCAUGCUGUUAUUGCGAAAAACUGGUAGUUAAAUUCAAUUGAUUCAAAAUAUUCGGGAUCCAUAUGGCCGCCAACCCUGGAGCUGAAGCGGCGAUAGCGCCUCACUGCUGUUUUCAAGCAUUUGCCUCUCCUCCAGUCCCCAGAUGGUGGGAGUAACAUUUAAACCUCCUUUUCUCUGCCUUGUACAAUAGACCUUGGCACCAUUUCAACUGUUUACUCCGGUAAUUAACAGCUCUGAUACCACAACAAUUACAACUCCUACACUCUCACCACAAUAAUGCUAUGAAUUAGUGAGAGCUAAUGGCUGGAAGGUAGAGUGUUUCCAGACUGUGGGAUCUGUGCAUUUUUAGAAUAAAAUAAAAGGUACAAACAGCACGCUUGCAGUAGACAAUGAUUACCUAGUAAUUAGUUUACACAAAGCUUCCUAUUUAAUGGCAAAACGCUGUAAUUAACGUGUGACAGAAAAUCAAAGGGUACUUUGUAAGCAUAUUAAAAAUUAACACUGCAGGCCCAUAGCUUUAUGUACUGAUUAGAAGCAUAUUAAAUCAAUAGGACACACAAACCAACAGCUUGGGUAGCUGAUUAUUAUAGGUCCUCAGAAGGGGUACCCUGGCUUUCAUUUCACUUGGGGAGGCAAUUUUCCUUCUCCUGUCAUCUUCCUCAGGCACAGAGAAACACCUCAAACUCAACCCUGGCAGCUUCAUGAAAAUAACCACUGAACUGGAAGAAAACAUUCUAAGUCAUUCUCAGAGAUGAAGACAAAUAUGUAAAUGAUUAAGACUUUCCAAUGAUUGUGGUGACGUGCUGCUACACUAAUUAGAAAAUACACCAACUGGAACCAGAAAAUAAAGCCACUGGGUUGCAAUCUUCCGGUCAGAAUAAUCUCUACUUUGUCAAGCCUCUUUAUUCAACUCAUAGAAAGUUCAAAUAAAUGGAACUGUUUUAUAUUUCUAAAUGAUAAGAAAGCAGGCUGCUAUGAAGACUUAUUCUUUCCAAGGCACUGUCUGGGUAAAGCAUAGGCUGGGAACAACUGGAUCAACCAACAUUCUGUAUCUUCAACAGCCACAACCCCAUAUAAUGAUGGCUGAUGGACAUAGACAGCAAUAUCCUGGAAGCCUACCAGAGCCUAAAGAACCUUCUGAAUCACCAAAGAAAGAUUAAGUUGUAUGUACUUGUUCAAUGUUACCUGUAUUUUGUUAUAAUACAAUUUUAUGGUAAUAAUA